rnacentral:lncRNA from 1 species
GAACUGCGGCGGUGGUGGCUGGGCCACCAGAGGGAAGCGGGUGUGGCCCAGGCAGCGGGGGCUGGGACAGACCUGGAAAGGAGGAAGCGGGGAAGGAAGGUUGUCCUGUCGGGCUGGGGGCUCCCGGGAAUCCGGAGGCCAGCAGUGGAACCGCAAGGCUCUACAGGGCAGAUCUGCCUCCCGUGCUGUCUCAGCUACGCCGAGUCGUUGGCUCAGGGCGGAGGAUUUUCCUAUUGGCCGCGUUAUUUGAAUGGAAUGGAGGAUAGGUCGUGAAGUAGGUGCUGCUGGUUGAUCUUUCUAAGGAACUCAGAUGAACUUGGGCAUGUCAGAAUUAAUAACCUUUUAAAAGUGGGGUCUGUGUGGCCGAGGGUUUUAAUGUCCUACCCAGGGAGUUGACCAGAACCAACAUGGAACCACCCUAACUUGCUUCAGACUCCAUUGCUAGAUCAAUCCUGAUUUCUAGAUCAUAGCAUCUAAUCUUUGCCUUGCCUCUGGAUUACAAGGGUGGAACCAAGCAGAGGGGUUCACCCAAGCCAUCUUUGGGUGCUUCCAUGGGAAAGAAGGAUUUCACUGAGAAUAAUAAGUGACACCAAGGCUCAAAAGAAUGAGAGAGAAGUCUGUUGGUCUCUUGAACAGCAGGGAUUUGCUCACAGAUCUCUGGAAGUAGCCAGAAUGUGACAGGAUCUCAAAAUGAAUGGCUGCUUCAUGGAGGCUGGAACAUAAGCCUGGGACUCCCAGUAGCCAAACAUAGCUGUGCCACAAACAUGGCUGAAAUGUAGCAGUUUGGUGGAUCCGAGGUCAGUCAUUGAAAAUGUAUUGAUUGGCACCUAUUCUUUGUGAAUCAUUAUUCUGGGUUCUGGGGUCACAGGAGCAAAUGAAACAAAUGAAGUACCUGCCAUCAAUGAGCUUACAUUCUAGUAAAGAGGGACAGAAAAUGAAUACAUUUUAAAUGAAUAAAUUCAGAUACCGCUAAAUGUAGUGAAGAAAAAAAUUGGGCUAAAGAGAGCGAAAAACAAUUUCUGAAGUUACUAGCAGUGAAGGGUGGGGGAAGAGAAGAGACGGAUUUAACCAGGAAAGAUCUGAGCUGAGGGUGUAUCCAGGUUUUCUGGAACCUGAUAUUAUUACAGUUUAGAGAUUCUUCUUCAAGAAAAAGAAUUUAAAAUUACAAAUAAUUAACUUCAGGGCCUUGGAAGGGGUCCACUCAAGUGAACAGAAAAUUAUGUGCUCCUUAUAAAAUAUAUGAUUUAAAACUACAACAGUGGCUGGCCGUGGUGGCUCAUGCCUGUAAUCCCAGCACUUUGGGAGGCUGAGGCAGGUGGAUCGCGAAGUAAAGAGAUCGAGACCAACCUGGCCAACAAUGGUGAAACCCCGUCUCUACUAAAAAUACAAAAAUUAGCUGGGCGUGGUGGCAUGUGCCUGGUGUCCCAGCUACUUGGGAGGCAGAGGCAGGAGAAUCGCUUGAACCUGGGAGGUGGAGGUUGCAGUGAGCCGAGAUUGUGCCACUGCACUCCAGCCUGGCGACAGAGUGAGA